rnacentral:lncRNA from 1 species
UUCAUCAUAAGCUUUCAUCUUCUAAUGAACUCCGUUGUUAUGAUGAAGUCCUUAGGACUAUUUAGGUUCGAUAAAGAGAGGAUUUAUCAAUUAGUCCUUAAAACUGUUCACGACCAAAUGAUAGGCUGUUAAUAAGGACGACAGCUUCUAUCGAGCAUAGGUCGCUGUAGGCCAUAUGGGUUGGUUGUCCUCUUAACCAAAGAGUGUGGAGACA